GCCGAGAUCGCAUAGCCUGGUAUUGCGCAUGACUGGAAAUCAUGUGGGAUCUUCCCUCGGGAGUUCAAAUCUCUCUCUCGGCGCCA
rnacentral:tRNA from 2 species